rnacentral:rRNA from 1 species
CCGUACCAUGCUGAAUAUACCGGUUCUUGUUAGAUCACCGAAGUUAAGCAUCAUUGGGCGCGGUCAGUACUUGGGUGGGUGACCACCUGGGAACACUGCGUGCCGUU